UACGAAGGGGGCUAGCGUUGCUCGGAAUCACUGGGCGUAAAGCGCACGUAGGCGGCUUCUUAAGUCAGGGGUGAAAUCCUGGAGCUCAACUCCAGAACUGCCUUUGAUACUGAGAAGCCUGAGUCCGGGAGAGGUGAGUGGAACUGCGAGUGUAGAGGUGAAAUUCGUAGAUAUUCGCAAGAACACCAGUGGCGAAGGCGGCUCACUGGCCCGGUACUGACGCUGAGGUGCGAAAGCGUGGGGAGCAAACAGGG
rnacentral:rRNA from 1 species